rnacentral:rRNA from 1 species
GAUGAACGCUGGCGGCGUGCCUAAUACAUGCAAGUCGAGCGAACGGACGAGAAUCUUGCUUCUCUGAUGUUAGCGGCGGACGGGUGAGUAACACGUGGAUAACCUACCUAUAAGACUGGGAUAACUUCGGGAAACCGGAGCUAAUACCGGAUAAUAUUUUGAACCGCAUGGUUCAAAAGUGAAAGACGGUCUUGCUGUCACUUAUAGAUGGAUCCGCGCUGCAUUAGCUAGUUGGUAAGGUAACGGCUUACCAAGGCAACGAUGCAUAGCCGACCUGAGAGGGUGAUCGGCCACACUGGAACUGAGACACGGUCCAGACUCCUACGGGAGGCAGCAGUAGGGAAUCUUCCGCAAUGGGCGAAAGCCUGACGGAGCAACGCCGCGUGAGUGAUGAAGGUCUUCGUAUCGUAAAACUCUGUUAUUAGGGAAGAACAUAUGUGUAAGUAACUGUGCACAUCUUGACGGUACCUAAUCAGAAAGCCACGGCUAACUACGUG